UACAGAGGUCCCAAGCGUUGUUCGGAUUCACUGGGCGUAAAGGGUGCGUAGGUGGUGGGGUAAGUCGGAUGUGAAAGCUCGGAGCUCAACUCCGAAAUGGCAUUGGAAACUACCCUGCUAGAGGAUUGGAGGGGGGACUGGAAUACUUGGUGUAGCAGUGAAAUGCGUAGAGAUCGGGAGGAACAUCUGUGGCGAAGGCGACUGCCUGGACCAGCACUGACACUGAGGCACGAAAGCUAGGGGAGCAAACAGG
rnacentral:rRNA from 1 species